AGGAAGGCUUUGGCUUCUCUAGUUAUGCUUGUAUCUUGGGAGAUAUGGUGUGAGGGGAGUGCUAGUGUUUUUAGGAAUGUUCCGUCGAUGCCGGGCUCCAUUACGACCAAGGUUAAGGUUGAGGGCAUGCUUUCGGGGAUGGUGGGUGCGAGGCACUUGAGCUCUUUGGUGCCACGAGAAUAG
rnacentral:rRNA from 1 species